rnacentral:rRNA from 1 species
AACGAACGCUGGCGGCAUGCCUAACACAUGCAAGUCGAACGAGACCUUCGGGUCUAGUGGCGCACGGGUGCAUAACGCGUGGGAACCUGCCCUUAGGUUCGGAAUAACUCCCCGAAAGGGGUGCUAAUACCGGAUAAUGUCUUCGGACCAAAGAUUUAUCGCCUUUGGAUGGGCCCGCGUUGGAUUAGCUAGUUGGUAGGGUAAAAGCCUACCAAGGCGACGAUCCAUAGUUGGUCUGAGAGGAUGAUCAGCCACACUGGGACUGAGACACGGCCCAGACUCCUACGGGAGGCAGCAGUGGGGAAUAUUGGACAAUGGGCGAAAGCCUGAUCCAGCAAUGCCGCGUGAGUGAUGAAGGCCUUAGGGUUGUAAAGCUCUUUUACCCGGGAUGAUAAUGACAGUACCGGGAGAAUAAGCUCCGGCUAGCUCCGUG